AAGAAGGGAAGUGAGGCAGCAGCCAAGCAGCACCAAGUUCCUCUGUCAGCAGGAAAUAACUCCUGUCAGCAGCACCUUUCCGACUGAAGUGGCAGAUGGAGUUGUUCCUGUGGUGUGGGCCAGUGGAAUUCCAGGAGGAUGGACAAGGGCAGAGCCUGUAGAAUGUGACUGCAAGAACCUGCAGAGAAACCCAGUGGCAAAGAGGAUUGAUCAGUGCAGGACCUGAGAGAAGCACCUGGAAUGACAACCGUGAGCAGCUGACAGUCCUAGAUUUC